rnacentral:lncRNA from 1 species
ACAGAGCAAGUUCCAGGACAGCCAAGGCUACACAGAGAAACCCUGUCUGGAAAGAGAAACAAACCAAACCAAACCAACAAACAAGCUGAACAAGCCAUGAGUAACAAGCCAGCAAGGAGCGAUGCUCUGUGGUCUCCCUUCAGUUCCUGCCUCCAGGUUUCUACCCUGAGUGCCUGCCCUGACUCCCCAUGGAUUAGUCAAAUAAAUCUAUCCAAUCAAAGUUGUAGUCGUGCUACCACAGCAUGACUGAAUCAAAACUAAUACACUUGGGUGGUGAAUGUAACACAAAUGGAGCCAGUGGACUGAGCAGCGUGGCCAUUGCUCUCGGCUGUGAUUGUGGCAGCCACAUGACGGGUUGCAUUAGCUCUUGUUGGUUUGACCUCCCUGCAAUGAGGGACUGUAUCCCUGAACUAUGAGUCAGAAUAUGUGGUUUUGCCAGGCACUUGGGAAGCAGAGGCAGGUGGAUCUUUGUGAGUUUGAAGCCAGCCUGAUCUACAGAGAGUGAGUUCCAGGAUAGUCAAGGCUAUGUAGAGAAACUCUGCCUCAAAACAAACAAACAAAGAAAAACAAAAACAAAAAAGACUAUGUGUUUUAUUUAAAUUAUUUUAUUUUUGUUUUGUUUUGUUUUAUUUUAUUUUAUGGUGUUUCCCUCCAUGUAUGUCUGUACCAUAUGCAUACGGUACCCACAGAGACCAGAAGACAAUGUUGGAUCCCCUGGGACUGGAGUUAUAGAUAGUUGUGAGCUUCCAUGUGUCAGAUCCUCUGGAAGAGCCUUGUGUUUUAACCACUGAGCUAUCUCUUCAGUCCUGUUGCUUGGCUGUCAUUGUAGUGAAGGACAUGUGUGCCACAGCAUGCAUGUGAAGGUCAUAGGACACUCUAUGGAGUCUGAUCUCUUUCCACCUUCAUGUAGGUUCCAGGAAUCUAACUCAGAUCCCCAAGUUUGAACAGCAAGCCCCUUUGCCAGCUGAGCCCUCUCACUGGCCCUCUGUGUGAGCCAGAAUAAAUCCUUUGUGUC